rnacentral:lncRNA from 1 species
GAGCAAGAGCCGAAGAGCAGUAAGAAGUAACUUGUCGCUGGAGAAAGGCAAGUGUGUCCUUGUGCUUUUGUCCCAAUAACUUUGUUUAAUCACUAUUGCAUAUGCCUGCAUUAAAUUUGAUGGGUCCUAUUAAGGUUUGCCUAGUUUUUAUGAUUAUUCCUUGCCAACCUGGGUUUACAUUUCUGUUGGGUAGCUAUGCUUAGCUGCUAUACUUGGGUUAUGGUGGUUCUAAUGAACAAAGAUGAUGAACCUAUUUUAUUUAUGCUACACCUUCCUUUAAUACAAGAUCACUGUGAUUAAUUGGAACAUGGAGAACCACCCAGGAAAACAGUGCUACCACAAGACUAAAUGGCUCUGGUCUUGGCUGAAUAAUUAGAAACUCUAGUUUGGGGUAACCUUACCGAAAGGGCAAGAGGGGAGGCGUUAAUGGGAUAUAGCACUCGCUCUCUUGGGAAGUGGGCUUGGCUAAGACACUAUACCCUCUAGGGGACUGCUAUGUUUCGCUUCGACCUGAAACCUUAGCGGGUUACCACAUUGCUAGCGAAUCUUUGUAAAGGUCUCGUAGCGUCCCUAUGCAAUCACACCUCGGAAGUGUGGUAUUGUGCCUGAUCAGCACAAGCGUGGUUGGGUCUAAAGUUCUUUUGAACUUUUACGCGACUUGUGGGUAAAGAUGUGCAACCUCUGCAGAGUGUAAAACUGAUCGAUCAGCCGUGCUCACGGUUAAGAGCGGCCUGGACCCUCACAUGAUUAAUAUACUUGAAGAUGGAUUUAAAUUGUGGUUUAUGCUAUGGUUAUGGUUGUGCCAUAUGCUUAUGGCUUAUAUUUAUGUUUAUAUUAAUUGUGGGUUGGUAUAUACUUAUACCUUAGUAAUCAGGUGCUAAUAAAAUUUGACCAACUAAAAAUGCUUAAUGCAGUCAACCAAUCAGCAUUUCCUUGUUUAACCCUUGCAUUCAUAUUCUCCUCACACUUGCUGAGUACGACAAGUGCUCACCCUUGCUAUACACAACGUUGCUCAGAAGAAGAAGCUGCUAUGAAGUUGUUGUGAAGAUGGUGCUGAGUUCUAGGCGUACGCAACCCCCAGUCGAUUGCCUGUGAAGUUUGGAGCCUCCGUUUCCAUAAUUAAGCUGUAUAUGUCUGAUGGUUUGUAAGUCUUUAUUUGUAUCUUUUUACGUGAUACUGUUGCUGUUAUUCACUUAUGAUGUCACUAUAUGUAUGAAACUUGAUCCUGGCAUACAUAUAGGUAGCACUUGGUUUUGUCCUUAAAACCGGGUGUGACAAUCUCGGUUGGUAUUAC